ACUCGGGUUGAUUCCAUUCCAUUCCAUUCCAAUCCAUUCCAUUCCAUUCCAUUCCAUUCCAUUCCAUUCCAUUCCAUUCCAUUCGGGUUCAUUCCAUUCCAUUCCAUUCCAUUCCAUUCCAUUCCAUUCCACUCGUGUUGAUUCCGUUCCAUUCCAUUCCAUUCCAUUCCAUUCCAUUCCAUUCCAUUCCAUUCCAGUUGAUUCCAUUGCAUUCCAUUCCAUUCCAUUCCAUUCCGUUCCAUUCCAUUCCAUUCCAUUCCAUUCCAUUCCAUUCCUUUCCACUCGGGUUGAUUCCAUUCCAUUCCAUUCCUUUCCAUUCCAUUCCAUUCCGUUCCACUCGGCUUGAUUCCAUUCCAUUCCAUUCCAU
rnacentral:lncRNA from 1 species